UCUACAGGCAAACAUGACCAGCCUCUCUGCCCCAAGCCUCGUAGAGCUGGCCCUGCCAUACCUGAAUUCCUCAAGCCUCAAAGAUGUAACAAGCACAGCCAACAAAAUUCUGAUGAAAGAAGCGGAAUUCUGAAUAUGAUCACUGAAAAGGAAAUAUUUGAUGGGAGAGAACAUGUAUGCACCAAGUGUUCACCAGCAUGUUACUCAGGAUCUCCACCAGGCAGAACAAAUAACCCUCUGGUUCAUGAUGUGCAGUUUCUUCAUCAGAUGGAACUUCUUUCUCCAUUCACAAGAACAAAGCUCUCAGAUAAAUUUGGUUUUAGUA